GGCUGGUCCGAAGGUAGUGAGAUCUCACAACGAGUGCUUACAGUCAAUUACUGGUCGACGUAUUUGUCUACCUCCCCUCACUGCUGCGCUUUGACUAGUCUNNN
rnacentral:Y_RNA from 1 species